UACGGAGGGGCAAGCGUUGUUCGGAAUUACUGGGCGUAAAGGGCGCGCAGGCGGCUGCUCAAGUCAGGCGUGAAAGGCCUGGGCUCAACCCGGGAAUUGCGCUUGAGACUGGGCUGGCUUGAGUGCGGGAGAGGAUGGUGGAAUUCCCAGUGUAGAGGUGAAAUUCGUAGAUAUUGGGAAGAACACCGGUGGCGAAGGCGGCCAUCUGGACCGCAACUGACGCUGAGGCGCGAAAGCGUGGGGAGCAAACAGG
rnacentral:rRNA from 1 species